UCCAUCUUCCGACCGGCGAUCAGUAAGUGCACCAGAUUGGGAAUAACCUUCAAAAGCUGCAACUUAAAUAUUCCCAGUAAUGUCCACUUACAAGGAGCCCCUGGUUGGAUGGGUGGA
ensembl:ncRNA mir-2494 mir-2494 stem loop